UCGACGGCUUUGUGAAAAGCGUGAAGAAAGCAUGGCCCAAGAAGUGUCGCACCUUUGUCGCCGUACCAACUCCGGACACCAACUUGGAAAACGUGUACAUCGAAAUAUUCCCAAAACUAUUCACACCGAGUGUCGUGGUCAUCCUGAGCCACUACGUGGAGGGUGACAACACCUUCCAGGACUGCCGCGUAGUGCCACCAACGUUGCUGACAAGGCCCGAGCCGCUCGCUACCAGCAGCCACUACAACUUUGACCUGAACACUGCGGCAACGUCCAUCGAGAAGCUGAUUGCGCGAGGCAUGGACGCAAUCUGGGCUAUCUCGCUCACCAUGAAAGGCAGAUGGACCAAACUGAAAGCCGGACAACGGGCGGACUUCCUGUCCGAGUGUGAGCACGACCCAAAUGCGGAAUCUU
rnacentral:lncRNA from 1 species